AGGACCUGCUGAACUUGAGGUCCUGUGGAGAACACUGAUGGCCCACCCCUGAAGGUGGCCCUGGUCUUCAUGCCUGCAUCAGCCUCAGCCAUCUCAAGAUCACAACGAGAACAUAGCCAAGUUAGAGAAGAAUGACCAAAAGCAUUGGGGUGCUUCGUAUUAUUAAGCUGCUAAAUUAACUAAUCUUGGGAAUUUCUAUACUCAACAAUUCUUGUUGUAUGGGAACUUCUGGCAACUAACCCUGGCAUGGCCACCAGAAUCUGCAGGGUUGAGAGAGGGAAAGAAAGGCAAAAGUGGAUGAAUGUAGCUGAAGAUGUUAUAUAACUCCUAUCACAUUCCAAGUGCUAUGUUGAUAUCUGGAGGUAUAGACAAGAUUGAAGCAGAUGCAGAGUCUUACACAUGAAUAUUUGAAUGAGGAAAUAUGUUCCCCAAAUUAGCAAAGCAUCUCGCAGACUCUUUUCUUGAUGAUAUAUUUGAAAUCCUAAUGCUGCAAGUUAAAUUAUCAGGGAUUUAAAACUAGAAGAAGUCAUGAUCACAAUUUUAUAUACUAUUUAAUUUUAAGCACAAAAUUUGACUGUUUAAGUCUUAUUAUAAUUUUAAGCAAAGUACUUUGGGUAGUCAUAAAUAAAGUAACUGGCAGGUAUUUAGUAUUUAUGUUGUGUGGAUUCAUAUCCAUACUCUACCACUCAGUAUCUCUGGGAUUUUUGAUGAAUGAUCAAACUCUCUGAGCCUCAGUUUUCUAAAGUGUAAAGCGGAAAUGAUAUUGGAAUGUAGUGAUAAUUAAAUAAUGUACUAGCUGUAGGUGCUUAGAACAGUUCCUGGAAUAUUAAAAAUUUAAAGAGACAUUUUAUUUUUAAUAGUUUAGUUAAUGGAAUGGCUUCAAAAAUACAGUUAAAUUAAGAUAUUCAAAGAAGCAGGAUGUGGGUGACCAGUAUUGGCGUCAGCUUUAGAGACCAAAGGUUAAGUCUCAAUGCUGCUGCAAAAGGGUUCAGGUAACAGUCAGUAAACA